rnacentral:ncRNA from 2 species
AAGUUAUCACGAAAGGCCGAGGGAAAGACCCAAUGAAACCUUAGCAACCCUUUGCCAUAAAGAAGGUGCUACAUUCUACUUAAUACAACAAAAUGUAUUCAAGAUAGAUAACGC